GGAAUCUGUCUGGAACUCUACCACAACGGAUCAGCCAGCUGACUCAAUUGAGAAGCAUUUCUCUUCAGAACAAUAAUUUAUCAGGAACAUUGCCAGACCUGUGUAGAUUAACCAAGUUGGAGAUAAUACGCCUUGAAAACAAUUACUUGACGGGAACCAUCCCAGACUGUCUGUCGCAAUUGAGUAACUUAAAACAACU